rnacentral:lncRNA from 10 species
AUCCACUGCCUGGCUACUGCCUAUGUUUGCUAAAAGCCCUAAGACUCUACAACCAGUAGGUGGCAAAUCUAGCCAGGCUUGCGUGCUUCCAUUCAGGACAGCAAGCUCCCCCUAUCUCUGGGCAGGUCCAGUGAUGACGUCUGUGACAAGGGCCUGGAGUUGGAAACCUUAGGAAUCUACCUGGUGCUCUCUUCUACUGAAGCUGUGCUGGCACCCAUACUGCAAGACAAAGUUCUUCUCACUCUUCCCUCCCCUUUCCAUAACCAGAGGAAUCUCUCUCCAUGGCCAUCACCACCCCAGUCCUGUGGUCAUUGUUUCCCAAACUAGAUGCUGAAUCCCGGUGAGACUGUGAAGAUAUUGUGAGCGUUCUUGGAGAUCAGAGCAGAAAACAUCCAUCGGAGAAUGGCCCUGUCUGAGAGAUAUGUUACCCUAAACACCAAGACUCAAUAUAUAUGACUUAAGAAAAAAAAGAUCCUUAUGCACUAUCUGAAGGUGAUGCUUCCUGACUUUUGCAACAGAAAGAAUGCUGUCUUCCUGUGCCUGCGGAGAUGAUAAUCAAGCUGGCACACUGACAAUCAAUGUAAAUUCAUUAAACAAAACAGGAAGUAAACAGGUAGGACAUCUUUCUCCUCUGUGCUCCUUCCUUUUCCUCAUGAGAGAAGAAUGGACUAACCUCAUUGAUUGAGAUUGUCAUGACAAUGUGUCUCCUCCCCUUUCCUUUCUGAUUCUGGGUUGAACCCCAAGGAAACAUGAUGAACCAGGUUGCAUGACUGUGAAGGCAGGAUAAAAGAAAAGCAGAAGAACCACAUUAAUCAUGGCAGACAUUGAUGAAGAAGGACAAUGAGGUUUUUCUGGUGGGUUUCUGGAGAAAUCAACUGUCAACAUUCUGCAAAACAAUCACUGACUCAAAAAACUCAAGAAGGGAGUAAAGAUAAUUAAUAAAGUAAGUUAAGUUGUAUUAUACCCACAAAUACAAACCAGUGGAAUCAUUUCUGGGUAACAUAUUGAGCUAAUAAAGUAGUAAAAAGGUGUCAAUGAUUUUAGGUAAAAGAUAUUGCCACCCCACUCUUCUUAUGUGGCGAUGCCUAAAGAAGAGAUCGCGCUGGCUGCAAUAAUGCCCCAAUGGUCAAGAUAUGCCAGUUAUUCAAAUUGGAAAAUCCAGGUAUAUUCAUGGAACUUACCAAUCUUUGGUUACUAGUAGGAAGUCUGCACAAGCAGCAACUACCACAGUUGUUCUAAAAACAGGGUGACAAAAGGCCACUCUUUCAGGCUAUGAAGACAUUUUGGCUUUUGUUUUCACAAUUAGAGACUCAGCAGCUUUCUGGACAGAAACUGCUGGAGUCCAGGCUAUGGCAUACUUGUUUCAUCUGCCCUCUCC